rnacentral:piRNA from 1 species
GAAAGGGAAUAAUAUUUAAAAUGUAAAUAA